UCGGUUGAGAGGGAGAAAGAGGUGGUCGUGGGUCGGUUGAGAGGGAGAAAGAGGUGGUCGUGGGUCGGUUGAGAGGGAGAAAGAGGUGGUCGGUUGAGAGGGAGAAAGAGGUGGUCGGUUGAGAGGGAGAAAGAGGUGGUCGGUUGAGAGGGAGAAAGAGGUGGUCGGUUGAGAGGGAGAAAGAGGUGGUCGGUUGAGAGGGAGAAAGAGGUGGUCGGUUGAGAGGGAGAAAGAGGUGGUCGGUUGAGAGGGAGAAAGAGGUGGUCGGUUGAGAGGGAGAAAGAGGUGGUCGGUUGAGAGGGAGAAAGAGGUGGUCGGUUGAGAGGGAGAAAGAGGUGGUCGGUUGAGAGGGAGAAAGAGGUGGUCGGUUGAGAGGGAGAAAGAGGUGGUCGGUUGAGAGGGAGAAAGAGGUGGUCGGUUGAGAGGGAGAAAGAGGUGGUCGGUUGAGAGGGAGAAAGAGGUGGUCGGUUGAGAGGGAGAAAGAGGUGGUCGGUUGAGAGGGAGAAAGAGGUGGUCGGUUGAGAGGGAGAAAGAGGUGGUCGGUUGAGAGGGAGAAAGAGGUGGUCGGUUGAGAGGGAGAAAGAGGUGGUCGGUUGAGAGGGAGAAAGAGGUGGUCGUGAGUCGGUUGAGAGAAAGAGGUCGAUGGUAGGUUAAAGGGAACCUACGAGAUAAUCUGCAAAUGCAUUUAUAAUGACAUGCCCUGUUUGGCACUGAUUUGUUAAGUUCUAUUUGUAUGGAAGCAUAUAGGCAUAGAGACUGUCAAUGCCACAAUGUUAUGUUACUAGAAAUAUUUGUUUUUGAAAUAAAAGACUGCUCGCUUUAUUGGUUUGUGUUCUUUCAGUUUAGUAUGCUGAGAAUCUAGAAUGUGGUUCCUCAGUCAGCCCCACACGGUAUGCAGGCAAUGAUUUCUCAAUACUAUUUCUAUUGCGCCUUUCUGACGCCCACAAUCACAAUAUUCACUGUUACGUAACAAAGUCCAUAUUUGGUAACUUAUGAACUUUCCUGUGACUCAAUUGGAGCAUGGGAACGCACUUGACUGAGAUCUGUGUCAAAGUUUACUUUCAGAAUUGAUCUCCAGUCUCAAUGCACCUGUCACAGUAAAAAACCCAACGUGAUUACCAAUGAAUAGUAGCUGGGAUAUUAAAAAUGUCACUACGAUUCUGCUCAUUAUUUUGCAUUGUAAAGCCAGACCCUCAGUGACCCUCCCAGAGACCGCCACGGUGAUGGAGGGGGAGGAAAGGACAUUGAUGUGUGACAUCACGGGAUUCUACCCAGAGAAUCUGGCCGUGACCUGGCUGAUCCAAAAUGGCUCCCGGGUGGCCCGUGGGAGCAUGGCUCGCGGGGCCAUCUCGCGUGAUGUGUGCACUGGAAUGGCUGUGCCUAAUCCAGACGGCACCUACAGUGUGAGCAGUCACAUCACUGUCCAGGCUUCAGCCGUAGGGAGCGGAGGAGCCAUGUACAUCUGUCACAUCGAACAUAGGUCCUACCCUGAUGGAAAAUACAGCAAAAGCAUCUUGUUGACCGUGCAAGAUCCAGGGUUUAAUGCUGUAACACUGAUGGUAGUUACUAGUCUUGUUAGUGUUCUUCUGGUCUUCUCUAUCAUCGGUGGUGCAAUGGUCUUCUACAGGUAUUUUUACACAGUUCCUCCCAGCAUCUCUGACAUCAUCAAACCCACCAUCGUUUAUGCCAUGAAGCCGACCAACUUAAAAUGCACCAUUAAAAGAGUACGACUGAGAGAGCUCAAAGUGAAAUGGUACAAGAUAACAGCCAAUAGGGACUGUAACGCAGCUUCCAAUAGCCAAUCAAAGGCACUGUUGAGCCGCAAUGACCUGAGUGACCAGGCUAACAUCCACUCUGAGAGCAUGCAUCACGUGUCCACCCUGUCCGUCUGUCUGUCAGUCAGUGAGGACCAGGCUAAGUACCUGUGUGUUGUGCUGUACAGAGGCAGGAAGAUCACCAGGGAGACCACUGUGAGUGUAAAAGUGACUCCAUCGUUCUUUCACAUCUCCAGCAUGCCUCAGAUCCCAGAGGUGAAGAGGUUGCUGGUGCUAUGCUGUCGGGUCGAGAAGUUUUACCCGGACGACCUCCAUCUCGAGUGGUCGAGAAAUGAUGGGGAGCAGGUGAGGACAGUCACUAACUAUGGACCGUUCUCUGACCACGAGCGGAUGCACAGCAUGUGGAGUAAGAUCGAACUGACAAUAGCUCAGGAAGACGAGAGUGUGGUCUACACAUGCCGCUUGUAUCACUCCAGUUUCCCCGGGCCAGGAUACAAAGACGUUCUCUAUCAUAUCAACACACAAGGUACUCCUCCAAGCGUGAUGUUCAUCAAGUGUGAGCCACUACUCCCUCUGCUGGAAGAGGAGUGCACGCUCAACCUCUGCAUCAAAGACUUCUGUCCUGAACAAGUGUCUGUCACAUGGUUUAAGGACGGACAGACGGUCCCCAACAGCCAGUUCUUCAACUCCCCACCCAGCCUCAACGUCAACGGCCUCUACUCUAUGUGGAGCUUCCUCAAACUGAGCCCAACCACAGAGGACUACGGCUCAGAGUUCAGGUGCCGGGUGGUCCACAGUGCCCAGAAGGAACCGGAGGAGAGGGUGUUCACACGUCAGAUCUCAUAGUCACCUAGUCAAGGGACGUCAGACCUUUGUUCAAAUACUUUGUUUGCACUUUUGGGACUUUUGUAUUGGCUCCAUUACAACAAAUAAAGGACGGCUCAAAUAGUUGAAAUGAUUUCAAGUAGUAUUUGAACCCAGGUCUGGGAUGUAUAUAAGGAUAUUACCGCUAAAGUAUAUAGUAUACCUAAGGUUAUUUUUGUAAAUUAAUUUGAUGCAUUUAUACUUGUUUUGUUAAUUCCGUUCACUUUAUCUUCUGAUAGACUGUAAAUAUUGAAUUGAAAAAGGUGCUUGCCCUGAACUGUCGUAGCAUACUAGAUAUGCUCAUGAAACGUGGGGCCUAAACUAGGAAAAGUGUCAGUACUACACCUUUUAUAUUGAGGUAAGUUAAUCUAACAAACACAGGUUCGUAAACCUUCAUACUUACAUCCUGCAUACGGUAUGAAAAUGGCAGAUUGGUCACUAUGAACACUUCAAUUGGGGCGGCAGGUAGCUUAGUGGUUAGAGCGUUGGGUCAGUAACCGAAAGGGUGUUAAUCGAGUCACCGAGCUGACAAGGUAGAAAUCUGUCCUUCUGCCCCUGAACAAGGCAGUUUAACCCACUGUUCCUAGGCCAUCAUUGUAAAUAAGAAUUUGUUCUUAACUGACUUGCCUAGUUAAAUAAAGGUUAAAUAUAUAUAUUUUUUAAUAGCAACAUACAAUAAGUCAGA